AUCCAGCUGACGAGUCUCAAGAACGACGAAACGUGAGUCCUGGAU
rfam:Schistosoma rodhaini strain Burundi genome assembly, scaffold: SROB_scaffold0002876